rnacentral:rRNA from 1 species
GGGUGGAUUAGUGGCGAACGGGUGAGUAACACGUGAGUAACCUGCCCCCGACUUUGGGAUAAGCCCGGGAAACUGGGUCUAAUACCGGAUAUGACUUCCUGCCGCAUGGUGGGUUGUUGAAAGAUUUAUCGGUGGGGGAUGGACUCGCGGCCUAUCAGCUUGUUGGUGAGGUAAUGGCUCACCAAGGCGACGACGGGUAGCCGGCCUGAGAGGGUGACCGGCCACACUGGGACUGAGACACGGCCCAGACUCCUACGGGAGGCAGCAGUGGGGAAUAUUGCACAAUGGGCGGAAGCCUGAUGCAGCGACGCCGCGUGAGGGAUGACGGCCUUCGGGUUGUAAACCUCUUUCAGUAGGGAAGAAGCGAAAGUGACGGUACCUGCAGAAGAAGCGCCGGCUAACUACGUGCCAGCAGCCGCGGUAAUACGUAGGGCGCAAGCGUUAUCCGGAUUUAUUGGGCGUAAAGAGCUCGUAGGCGGUUUGUCGCGUCUGCCGUGAAAGUCCGAGGCUCAACCUCGGAUCUGCGGUGGGUACGGGCAGACUAGAGUGAUGUAGGGGAGACUGGAAUUCCUGGUGUAGCGGUGAAAUGCGCAGAUAUCAGGAGGAACACCGAUGGCGAAGGCAGGUCUCUGGGCAUUUAC